UUCAGCGUGAUACCAGACGAAAAUAAGAUGGUUCACUUCGCAGGACUUCCAUGCCCUCGUUCGCGCGAUGUGCGGCACUGUGCACGUACAAAAGGAGAAAAAGUAAUACACGACGUAUGCGAGGAGUGAUUGCAUCAGUAAGAACGCAUCAAUGAUCGUGUUUCGUUUUAUUUCUAUGAUAUAAUUUCCAGGAGCUGCUUGUUGAAAGGUAUACAUUUCUUGAUAUACAGAAAACAGACGACGAUGGAUAAUAAAUAAGCGAUCAAUAAAUCGACACGCAACUUGUCGAACUACAAUCCGUGGAAAACGCCCGAUCCAGGUGUAAAUAUUUUCGUCGCAUGCGAUCGGCAAGUAUUUCAAAGGUACAAACAGCUAUCGCGGAUGAAGGAAUGUAGUUUUAGGGCGCAAAAACACCACUCGAACGUCCCAUUCAAGGCAGCAAGCUCUGGGACCGAAAGAGUAAAUAUCGUGUGACGAGAAUACGAGAAUACAUAUAGGGGAGAUUUAAUCAAUACCCUUUUCUGCAUAAGGUCAAGAUCCAGCGAGAAACGAACGUCGAAUAGACGUCAAAUCGACAUUGAAUUAAUGUCGAUUCAUUUUUUGCCGAGUCGCGGACAAUUCAACCGGCUACGGUGAGCGUUAAUCAAUGAUGGGCGUUAAUUUAGCGGCCUUUUAAUUAUCACUCGACUCAAGUUUCAGUUGCACGAGACUACUGUGCUACUCACUCUGACCCAGUUGAAUUUGAAGAAGUACGCCAUGUAGAUGAAAAAGGCCAACAGGGUGGCCGCGAUCCCGACGUACCAUCCGAACAUCG